rnacentral:piRNA from 1 species
UGUGUGGUUUGGUAAUUUAUGCCUUU